rnacentral:rRNA from 1 species
CACGUAGGGGGCAAGCGUUGUCCGGAUUUAUUGGGCGUAAAGAGCUCGUAGGUGGUUCGAUAAGUCGGGUGUGAAACCUCCAGGCUCAACCUGGAGACGCCACCCGAUACUGUCGUGACUAGAGUCCAGUAGGGGAGCGUGGAAUUCCUGGUGUAGCGGUGAAAUGCGCAGAUAUCAGGAGGAACACCGGUGGCGAAGGCGGGUCUCUGGGCCGAUACUGACGCUGAGGAGCGAAAGCGUGGGGAGCAAACAGG